UGCAUCCCUAAUUAUAAAGGAUAUUGUACCCCCACUGUGAAUUAUAAGGAUAUUAUAAGUCACUGAGGGGUUCUCUGACUAUAAAAAAGCCACAAGUUGAAGUUUUAGUUAUACAGGGAACUCUUGGUGUCACUUAAUGUUUAGGAUAAUUUCCCCUCUACUGUAAAUAAGGAUAUUAGAAUUCACUAAGGGGAUCUGUGACCAUUUAAAGGAGACCGGCUGCAAGUUGAGUUAUACUGAGUGUCACUUACAUAAAAGGGAUAAGGUACCUCCUACUGAUAAGGAUAGUAGAUGUCACUGUGGGGUUCUGUGGCCAUAUAAAGACAUAAGUUGCAGGCUGUGAUUUAUAUGGGGAACUCUUUGUAUCUCUCAUAUAUUUUAAGGUAUAGUAUUGCCCCAAUAUAAAUAAGGAUAAUAAGUGUCACUAAGGGGUUCCCAUACCAUAUGAAGGCACAUGGCUGCAGAUUGAGUUAUAAAAGGAACGCCGUUUAUCACGCAAGAAUUUAAGGCAUAAUGUACCCCUGUUCUGUUCUGUGACCAGAAGGCCCAACGCUGAGUUAGUCACUCAUAGAUUACAAGUGAUGCUUUACCCCUACUGUAAAUUGUAGGGAUAUUAGAAGUUACUCAGGAGUUAAGAGACCAAAUAAAGACACAAGGCUGUAGGAUAUAAGGAUAUUUGAAGUCACUGAGGGGUUCUCUGAAAUGAUAAAUGCACAGGGUUACAGAGUUAUUCUAGGACCACUGUGUGUCACUCAUGUUUUAUAAGUGAUCAUAUCCCCCCCCCCUACUUUAAAUUAUAAGGACUGUGGGGUUCUGUAACCAUAUAAAGGCACAAUGCUGCAGGCUGAGUUAUACAGAGGACACUUGAGUAUCAAUGCUAUAUUAUAAGGGAAAAUGCCCACCCGCAAGGAACACUGUGUAUCAUUCACAUAUUAUAAGGGUUAAUGUUCCCCCUAUCAUACAUUAAAGGAUAUUAGAAGUCACUGACGGUUUGUGACCAUGUAAAGGCACAAGGCUACAGACUGAUAUAUGAAGAAUACUAUCACUCAUUGAUUAUAAGUGAUACUGUACUUUCUACUUUAAAUGAUAAGCAUUUUAUAAUGAAUUCUGUGACCAUUGCUGGGGACUAAUUUAUAUAGUGGACUUUGACUAUCAGUCAUGUGUGUUAAGGAAUAUUAUACCCCACUGUAAAUUGUAAGGUUCUGUGACUAUAUAAAGGCACAAUUUGAAGGCUUAGUUAUUCAGGGAACUCUGGGUAUCACUCACUUUUUGUAAGGGAUUAUACCCCCUACUGUAAAUGAUAAGGAUAUUAGAGGUCAGGGGGUCUGUGACCAUAUAUAGGCGCAUGGCUGCGGGCUGUCUUAUACAGGGGACUUCGAGUAUCACUUUUGUAGUAUAGGCGAUAAUGUAACCCCUCUUUUAAGCCAUAAUCACUUAUCGUAUGCCAUAUAUAGUAUAAGGGAUAAGGUACCCACUACUGUUAAUGAUGAGGAUAGUAGAUUUAACAAUGGGGUUUUCUGGCCAUAUAAAGACAUACGUUACAGGAUGUGAUAUAUAUGGACAACUCUUUGUAUCUCAUAUAUUUUAAGGGAUAAUAUUGCCCCACUGUAAAUGUACUGUAAGGAUAUGUAAAAACUGUAAGGAUAUUAGAUGUCACUAAGGGGCUCUCUAACCUUAUAAAGGCACAAGACUGCAGACUGAGUUAUACAGGGGACACUGAGAAUCACUCAUGUAUUUUACAGGUUAAUGUACCCCCUACUGUAAAUGAUUAGGAUAAUCGAUGUCACGGAGGGGUAUGUGACCAUAUAAAAGCACAAAGCUGCAGGCUGCAAGGCUUUUUUUCAUUUUUAUCAUUUUCCCUUUUUUCCCCCCUUAAACUGUUGAUUUCAUAUCGUGACUUUUGCCUUGAGUAUUCUGAUCACGCUAUCGGAUCAGUUAUUUUAUUUUAUUGAUUUGCCUAAUUCUAUUUGAUUUUUUUAUCAUUUUAUUGCAGUUUUUUUUCUUACAUUGCUUUUUUGCAGUUUCCCAGUUUGGAGUAGAAAUACAUAUUCACCCAUUCUGGAGUCAUCGUAAUGUGUAGUUUACUAAAUUAUAUGGUUUUCAGGGGUCACCCUAAUUGUUUGUAGCUUUUAUUCUACAUAAAACUGCCAGUGUUUAUAAAUGAGUGUAAGUGUAAGCCAUCAAAUAAGUAUGCACAAGGUAGAUUUUGUGUCUUUACAUGCUAUGUACUUCAAUAAACCUAUGUACAUUGGGUAUCAAACUGUUCAGUGGUCCCCAGGCUUUCAUAUUAAGGGGUGUUUUAUCUUGGUAACCAAUAGUAUCUGGUAGAUAAGAUGCUGCCAGUUAGAAGUUAUGAGGUGAUUUUUGUAAAAGUCACCAAAAUCACAAAUUUACGAAAUGUUUGCAGCUUGGAGUAGAAAGACAAGCAUACCCAAUUUGGAUUCAGGGGAAUGUCUACUUCCUGAAAAUUAUAUGGUUUUCUGGGGUGAACAUUAUUUUUUUCUAUCUUUGCCCCACAAAUGAAUGCUGCAAAUGUGUUGAUUUUGCAGUACCUGAAAUCAAAGACUAUGCGGGGGGCUCUUCAAAGCUGCAAAAAGACCCGAAGUUGAAGUACUGAAGCCUCGAAAGGACCCAAAGUAAGGAAAGGAAUCUAAGGAACAUGGGGAUCUGGUCUUUUUCCAUGCCUAGAAGGUGCCUUGAUUGAAGAUUCUGGAGCC